rnacentral:rRNA from 1 species
AACUGCGAAUGGCUCAUUAUAUAAGUUAUCGUUUAUUUGAUAGUACCUUACUACUUGGAUAACCGUGGUAAUUCUAGAGCUAAUACAUGCUAAAAAUCCCGACUUCGGAAGGGAUGUAUUUAUUAGAUUAAAAACCAAUGCCCUUCGGGGCUCCUUGGUGAUUCAUGAUAACUCCUCGAAUCGCAUGGCCUUGUGCCGGCGAUGGUUCAUUCAAAUUUCUUCCCUAUCAACUUUCGAUGUUUGGGUAUUGGCCAAACAUGGUUGCAACGGGUAACGGAGGGUUAGGGCUCGACCCCGGAGAAGGAGCCUGAGAAACGGCUACUACAUCCAAGGAAGGCAGCAGGCGCGCAAAUUACCCAAUCCCGACACGGGGAGGUAGUGACAAUAAAUACUGAUACAGGGCUCUUUUGGGUCUUGUAAUUGGAAUGAGUACAAUUUAAAUCCCUUAACGAGGAACAAUUGGAGGGCAAGUCUGGUGCCAGCAGCCGCGGUAAUUCCAGCUCCAAUAGCGUAUAUUAAAGUUGUUGUGGUUAAAAAGCUCGUAGUUGAACCUUGGGCCUGGCUGGCCGGUCCGCCUCACCGCGUGCACUGGUCCGGCCGGGCCUUUCCCUCUGUGGAACCCCAUGCCCUUCACUGGGCGUGGCGGGGAAACAGGACUUUUACUUUGAAAAAAUUAGAGUGCUCCAGGCAGGCCUAUGCUCGAAUACAUUAGCAUGGAAUAAUAGAAUAGGACGUACGGUUCUAUUUUGUUGGUUUCUAGGACCGCCGUAAUGAUUAAUAGGGACAGUCGGGGGCAUCAGUAUUCAAUUGUCAGAGGUGAAAUUCUUGGAUUUAUUGAAGACUAACUACUGCGAAAGCAUUUGCCAAGGAUGUUUUCAUUAAUCAGGAACGAAAGUUAGGGGAUCGAAGACGAUCAGAUACCGUCGUAGUCUUAACCAUAAACUAUGCCGACUAGGGAUCGGACGAUGUUAUUUUUUGACUCGUUCGGCACCUUACGAGAAAUCAAAGUG